GGUGGUUCUCGGGUGAUGCACCCUGGAAUCAGGUUCCCUCCUCUCUUGUUUCCAGGUGGGUCACCCAAGAACCACC
rfam:Myotis davidii contig132695, whole genome shotgun sequence.